AACGAACGCUGGCGGCAUGCCUAACACAUGCAAGUCGAACGAGAACUUCGGGCUUUGUGGCGCAGGGGUGCGUAACGCGUGGGAACUUGCCCUUAGGUAAGGAAUAACUCACUGUAAGGGGUGUUAAUACAGGUUAAUGUAAUCGGACAAAAGAUGUAUUGCCUUGGGAUGGGCCCGGGUUAGAUUGGCUAGUUGGUAGGGUAAAAGCCUACCAAGGCGACGUUGCAUGGCUGGUCGGGGAGGAGGACCAGGCCCGCUUGAACUGCGGCACGGACCAGACUGCGACGGAGGGCAGCAGUAGAGAAUAUUGUACGAGGAACGAUAGCCUAAUCCAGCAAUGCGGCGUAUGUGAGGCAGGCCUUAGUGUUGUAAAUCUCUUUGACCCGAAAUGAGAGUGACGGUACCGGGAAAAUAAGCUCCGGCUAACUCCGUG
rnacentral:rRNA from 1 species